GGGACCUUAGCUCAGCUGGGAGAGCACCUGCUUUGCAAGCAGGGGGUCGUCGGUUCGAUCCCGACAGGCUCCACCA
rnacentral:tRNA from 1 species